rfam:Trichobilharzia regenti genome assembly, scaffold: TRE_contig0034260
AUCCAGCUGACGAGUCACAAAUAGGACUAAAUGCGCAUCCUGGCUGGAU